UGAUACCAAGGGCCAAGCCCUCCCUGCUUC
rnacentral:piRNA from 1 species